GGGAAGGUGGCCGAGCGGUCUAAGGCGCCACGUUAAGGAGAUAUCCUUGAUAACUUCAGAUUCCUCUCUCCCGAGGAAACAAGAUUCCGUGGUCUCGUAAGAGGCGUGGGUUCAAAUCCCACCCUUCUCA